GGAGGAGGGAGAGGGAGUGGGAGGUGCGGGAGCAGCAGCUGACAGACAGGGAGGUGCAGCUCCUGGUACAGGAAGAGGAGACGGGGAGGAGGAGCAGGGAGCUAGUUACGGAGAGGGUGGAGCUACAAAGGAAGAAGAAGGACUAUCUGAUAGAUCUAGAGCGACUGAGAGACGCUCAGGGAAACUAGAUCGAGACAGAGAAAACAUACAGCGAGAAAUGGAGAGGGUAGAACACAUGAGAAUGGCUAAGAGGUGGAUACAGAGAACUCCCUCUUCUACCUCAGACGACUCCCCCCACUUCCCCUCCUCUACCUCCCUGGACAAAGAUCCAAUGGACCCGACUGAGCUCUCCUCCUCUCCCAGGAAAGAAUCCCUGACCUCGUCAAAAGGGAAGAGCCUAAGCCCUUUCUCUGAGGCCACGGCCCUAAAGGCCCCUAGUGGAGACAGUCAGAACCAGAUACCUAACAAACUGCUGCAACUGGCUAAAGACAGGAGCAAGAACAAGAAGGACAAGAAGAAGAAGGAACAGGGUACACAGUCACCAGAUACCCAGCACCUAGAGCCUCCUCUAGAUGGAGAGAUCUACUUCUGUUGAGGAGACCCCUCUUCAUCUCCUCCGAUGUCAAUGCAACGUCCCUCUCACCAGCUGAAUGGAAGGCCAAGUUGCCAAAGUGCCCCCAUCGUCAAACCCUCUAAGUCCUCACAAACACUCCCAACUGACACACAAUAGGAAGUGGAAGGUCUCUCAUCAUGUGAGUCAUAAGCUCCAGCUGCAAUGUUCUGUCUCAGUGCUCACUACAGAUUGGCUCCUGACUGUCACCUGCUAAAAAAUAUAACAAUAAGGACACUGUUUCUAUGUUAGAUACUGUAGGUUAAAGAUUGUCUAUAACAAUAAAGACACUGUGUCUAUGUUAGAUACUGUAGGUUAAAGAUAGUCUAUAACAAUAAGAAACUGCUUCUAUGUUAGAUACUGUAGGUUAAAGAUUGUCUAUAACAAUAAGGACACUGCUUCUAUGUUAGAUACUGUAGGUUAAAUAUUGUCUAUAACAAUAAGGACACUGUUUCUAUGUUAGAUACUGUGCUCCUGAUGUGCUUGACAUGUUGCAAUAAUCUCAAUACAUUUUACAUGUGAUGCUAUUGAUCACAUGAAUCAUCUUUUCUGGUGCAUGUCCAAGAUCGAUAAUCAAUAUGUUGUUUAUACAGAUCAGUCUACACAAUAUUGAUACUAUAUAGUCCCAUAAGAACUGGAGAAAACUCAGACUGAUGUCAGUUGAUCGUUGUUGUGGUUCAAUGUUUAAGAGCCACUUGUUACUAAUACCUGAAGAACCAGAGAACACAUAUGGAAUCAUGUUGUAACCAAAAAUACGUUAAACAAAUCAAAAUAUAUUUUAUAUUUCAGAUUCUUAAAAGUAGCCACCCGUUGCCUUGAUGACAGCUUUGCACACUCUUGGCCUUCUCUCAACCAGCUUCAUGAGGUAGUCACCUGGAUUUAAAAAAAAUUAAUAGGCGUGCCUUGAUUAAAGUACAUUUGUGGAAUUUCUUUCCUUCUUAGGAAUGGUAUACAGAAUAUAGCCCUAUUUGGUAAAUGACCAGGUCCAUAUUAUGGAAAGAUCAGCUCAAAUCAGCAAAGAGAAACGACAGCCCAUCAUUACUUUACGACAUGAAGGUCAGUCCGUACGGAAAAUGUCAAGAACUUUGAAAGUGCAAUCGCAAAAACCAUCAAGUGCUCUGAUGAAACUGCCUCAUGAGGACCGCUACAAGAAAGGAAGACCCAGAGUUUCCUCUGCUGCAGAGGAUAAGUACAUUACAGUUCGCUGUACCUCAGAUUGCAGCCUAUAUAAAUGCUUCAGAGUUCAAGUAAGAGACACAUCUCAACAUCAACUGUUCAGAGGAGACUGUUUGAAUCAGGCCUUCGUGGUCAAAUUGAUGCAAAGAAACCACUACUAAAGGACACCAAUAGGAAGAAGAGACUUGCUGGGCCAAGAAACACGAGCAAUGGACAUUAGACCGGUGGAAAUCUGUCCUUUGGUCUGAUGAGUCCAAUUUUGAAAUGUUUGGUUCCAACCACCAUGUCUUUGUGAGAUGCAGAGUAGGUGAAUGGAUGAUCUCCACAUGUGUGGUUCCCACCUUGAAGCAUGGAGGAGGAUGUGUGAUGGUGCUUUGUUGGUGACACUGUCUGUGAUUUAUUUAGAAUUCAAGGCACAAUUAACCAGCAUGCUUACCGCAGCAUUCUGCAGCGAUACGCCAUCCCAUCUGGUUUGCGCUUAGUGGGACUAUCAUUUGUCUAUCAACAGGACAACGACCCAAAACACACCUCCAGGCUGUGUAAGGGAUAUUUGACCAAGAAGGAGAGUGAUGGAGUGCUACAUCAGAUGACCUGGCAUCCACAAUCAUCUGACCUCAACCCAAUUGAGAUGGUUUGGGAUGAGUUGGGCCGCAGAGUGAUGGAAAAGCAGCCAACAAGUGCUCAGCAUAUGUGGGAACUCCUUCAAGACUGUUGGAAAAGCAUUCCAGGUGAAGCUGGUUGAGAGAAUGCCAAGAGUAUGCAAAGCGGUCAUCAAGGCAAAGGGUGGCUACUUUGAAAAAUCUCAAAUAUAUUUGUUCUUUGUUUAAAACUUCUUAGGGCUGAGAUCCCGUUAACGGAUCGAUUUGACAACAACCAGUGAAAGUGCAGGACCCCAAAUUCAAACAACAGAAAUCUCAUAAUUAAAAUUCCUCAAACAUACAAGUAUUAAACACCAUUUUAAAGGUAAUCGUGUUGUUAAUCCCACCACAGUGUCCGAUUUCAAAUAGGCUUUACAGUGAAAGCUCCACAAACGAUUAUGUUAGGUCAGAGCCAAGCAACAGAAAAACACAGCCAUCUUUCCAGGCAAAGAGAGGAGUCACAAAAAUCUGAAAUAGAGAUAGAAUUAAUCACUAACCUUUGAUGAUCUUCAUCAGAUGACACUCAUAGGACUUCAUGUUAGACAAUACAUUUAUGUUUUGUUCGAUAAAGUUCAUUUUAUAUAAAGAAAUCUCAGUAUACAUUGGCGCGUUAUGUUCAGUAGUUCCAAAAACAUCCGGUGAUAUUGCAGAGAACAACAUCAAUUUACAGAAAUACUCAUUUUAAAUGUUGAUGAAAAUACAAGUGCUUUACAGCGAAUGCACCACAAACUAUUAUGUUAGGAGAAUCUAUUAUGUUAGGAGAAUCUAUUAUGUUAGGAGAAUCUAUUAUGUUAGGAGAAUCUAUUAUGUUAGGAGAAUCUAUUAUGUUAGGAGAAUCUAUUAUGUUAGGAGAAUCUAUUAUGUUAGGAGAAUCUAUUAUGUUGAAGAAUCUAAAAUAUGAAAUAUAUUUUGAUUUGUUUAACACUUUUUUGGUUACUACGUGAUUCCAUAUGUGUUAUUUCCUAGUUUUUAUGUCUUCACUAUUAUUCUACAAUGUAGAAAAUAGUAAAAACUAAAAACCCUUGAGUGAGUAGGUGUGUCAACUUUUGACUGGUAUUGUAUAUAAAUCCCCAACGUAACAACAGGUCCAAUCAUGACGUCCGUCAGAAUGGGGAAUGCAAACAAUUGUGCUAAUGAUAAAAUGCUAAAAUGAAUCAUUUUCACCUGACAGUAUAUUUGACUUGUUAACCUUUCUUAGGGCUGCUCUGUCUGUCUGUCGAUUUUAUUUCAUAUGUGGGUUCAUUGUCCACAAGAUGAGUAUGGAGUAUGAAAUAAUACAACAUAAUGAGUAGUCAGGAGUUAGUUCCUUAUUAAAUGAAAUAAAUAAUUUAAUAGAAACACAAUGUGGACCCCUCAAUUGGCUCUGGUUAAAACUAGUGCACUAUGUAGGGAAUAGGGCUCUGGUCUAAAGUAGUGCACUAUAUAGGGAAUAGGGUGCCAUAGGGCUCUGGUCUAAAGUAGUGCACUAUGUAGGGAAUAGGGUUCCAUAUGGCUCUGGUCUAAAGUAGUGCACUAUGUAGGGAAUAGGGUGCCAUAGGGCUCUGGUCUAAAGUAGUGCACUAUAUAGGGAAUAGGGUACCAUUUGGGACUCUUGUUUAGCCUUCAAUAUAAAGAUGAAGUGUACAAAAUACAACCUAACAUCUUGUCAGGAUGAUCCACAGGUGGUUUUCGACCUCUGUCUUCGGGUUGAAAAGUUCCUGUAACUUUAAUACACUGAUCAGGGUUUACUGUUGAAUAUUCCCAGAAUAUUGAGGGAAGCAGGAAUCAGCGAUCCUCAGAUUUAUGGAAAGCCAGGGAUUCAGUAAUCCUCAGAUCUCUGGAAAACAAGGGAAUCAGCAAUCCUCAGAUCUCUGGAAAACCAGGGAAUCAGCGAUCCUCAGAUUUAUGGAAAAACAGGGAAUCAGCGAUCCUCAGAUUUAUGGAAAACCAGGGAAUCAGCAAUCCUCAGAUCUCUGGAAAACCAGGGAAUCAGCAAUCCUCAGAUCUCUGGAAAACCAGGGAAUCAGCGAUCCUCAGAUUUAUGGAAAAACAGGGAAUCAGCGAUCCUCAGAUUUAUGGAAAACCAGGGAAUCAGCAAUCCUCAGAUCUCUGGAAAACCAGGGAAUUCUUUUGAAAGUUACUGGAAUUCUGCAACCCUGCUCUGUUUGGAAAUUAAGGUACAGAAAUGUUCUCUUUCUGAAUAAUGUCAAAUAAUAAAACUAUGAAUAAACAAAUAUGUCAAAUAAAAAGACUGAUGUAAAAGUCUGAAUAAUUUGUUUUAGUGUUGAUCUGUGAUUUAUGUCAGCGUUUUAUGAUGAGACGUUAUCUCUGAUUCCCAGCUGUUUGGUGGAAUGUCACGUAAAGUCAUAUUUCCCUCAUAAUAAAG
ensembl:lncRNA